GAUGAACGCUAGCGGCAGGCUUAACACAUGCAAGUCGAGGGGCGGCGUGAGGGUUAGCAAUAACCCUUGACGGCGACCGGCGCAAGGGUGCGUAACGCGUAUCCAACCUUCCCGUUACUCUCGGAUAGCCUUCCGAAAGGGAGAUUAAUACGAGAUGGUGUUGAAAUUCCGCAUGUUAUUUCAACUAAAGAUUAAUCGGUAACGGAUGGGGAUGCGUGACAUUAGAUAGUAGGCGGGGUAACGGCCCACCUAGUCUACGAUGUCUAGGGGUUCUGAGAGGAAGGUCCCCCCACACUGGAACUGAGACACGGUCCAGACUCCUACGGGAGGCAGCAGUGAGGAAUAUUGGUCAAUGGGCGGGAGCCUGAACCAGCCAAGUAGCGUGAAGGAUGACUGCCCUACGGGUUGUAAACUCUUUGUUGGAUAAAGACGCUACGUGUAGCGUUGUGCAUGUACCUUACGAAUAAGCAUCGGCUAAUUCCGUG
rnacentral:rRNA from 1 species